CUCAAAUUUGAAAUCUGGCCCCCAGGGCCCGAGUUGUAAUUUGCAGAGGAUGCUUUUGGCGCGGUGCCUUCCGAGUUCCCUGGAACGGGACGCCAUAGAGGGUGAGAGCCCCGUCUGGUCGGACGCCUAGCCUGUGUAAAGCUCCUUCGACGAGUCGAGUAGUUUGGGAAUGCUGCUCUAAAUGGGAGGUAUAUGUCUUCUAAAGCUAAAUACCGGCCAGAGACCGAUAGCGCACAAGUAGAGUGAUCGAAAGAUGAAAAGCACUUUGAAAAGAGGGUUAAAUAGUACGUGAAAUUGUUGAAAGGGAAGCGCUUGUGACCAGACUUGGGCCCGGUGGAUCAUCCAGCGUUCUCGCUGGUGCACUCCGCCGGGUUCAGGCCAGCAUCAGUUCGCCGCGGGGGAAAAAGGCUUCGGGAACGUGGCUCCUACGGGAGUGUUAUAGCCCGUUGCAUAAUACCCUGGGGCGGACUGAGGUUCGCGCUCCGCAAGGAUGCUGGCGUAAUGGUCAUCAGCGACCC
rnacentral:rRNA from 1 species